rnacentral:rRNA from 1 species
CCUACGGGAGGCAGCAGUGAGGAAUAUUGGUCAAUGGACGAGAGUCUGAACCAGCCAAGUAGCGUGAAGGAUGACUGCCCUAUGGGUUGUAAACUUCUUUUAUAUGGGAAUAAAACGUUCCACGUGUGGGAUUUUGUAUGUACCAUAUGAAUAAGGAUCGGCUAAAUCCGUGCCAGCAGCCGCGGUAAUACGGAGGAUCCGAGCGUUAUCCGGAUUUAUUGGGUUUAAAGGGAGCGUAGGUGGAUUGUUAAGUCAGUUGUGAAAGUUUGCGGCUCAACCGUAAAAUUGCAGUUGAAACUGGCAGUCUUGAGUACAGUAGAGGUGGGCGGAAUUCGUGGUGUAGCGGUGAAAUGCUUAGAUAUCACGAAGAACUCCGAUUGCGAAGGCAGUUCACUGGACUGCAACUGACACUGAGGCUCGAAAGUGUGGGUAUCAAACAGGAUUAGAUACCCCUGUAGUC